GACGAACGCUGGCGGCGUGCCUAAUACAUGCAAGUUGAGCGCUGAAGGUUGGUACUUGUACCAACUGGAUGAGCAGCGCACGGGUGAGUAACGCGUGGGGAAUCUGCCUUUGAGCGGGGGACAACAUUUGGAAACGAAUGCUAAUACCGCAUAAAAACUUUAAACACAAGUUUUAAGUUUGAAAGAUGCAAUUGCAUCACUCAAAGAUGAUCCCGCGUUGUAUUAGCUAGUUGGUGAGGUAAAGGCUCACCAAGGCGAUGAUACAUAGCCGACCUGAGAGGAUGAUCGGCCACAGUGGGACUGAGACACGGCCCAAACCACUACGGGAGGCAGCAGUAGGGAACCUUCGGCAAGAGACGAAAGUCUGACCGAGCAACGCCGCGUGAGUGAAGAAGGUUGUCGGAUCGUAAAACUCGGUUGGUAGAGAAGAACGUUGGUGAGAGUGGAAAGCUCAUCAAGUGACGGUAACUACACAGAAAGGGACGGCUAACUACGUG
rnacentral:rRNA from 1 species